rnacentral:rRNA from 1 species
GCCUCAGGUCAAGUGGUGUUAAUGCAUUGUAUCCCAUCAAAACUCCGCAGUUAAGCAUGCUUGGUCUAGAGUAGUACUGGGAUGGGUGACCUCCCGAGAAGUCCUAGUGUUGCACCCU